rnacentral:rRNA from 1 species
GACGUAGGACGCAAGCGUUAUCCGGAGUUACUGGGCGUAAAGCGCGGGCAGGCGGUCUGGCCAGUCUGAUGUGAAAUCUCCUCGCUCAACGGGGAGCAGCCAUUGGAAACUACCAGACUGGAGUCUGACAGAGGUAGGCGGAAUUCCGGGUGGAGUGGUGAAAUGCGUAGAGAUCCGGAGGAACACCAGUGGCGAAAGCGGCCACCUGGACUGCACCUGACGCUGACACGCGAAAGCUAGGGGAGCGAACGGG